GAUGAACGCUGGCGGUGUGCCUAAUACAUGCAAGUCGAGCGAACAGACGAGGAGCUUACUCCUCUGACGUUAGCGGCGGACGGGUGAGUAACACGUGGAUAACCUACCUAUAAGACUGGGAUAACUUCGGGAAACCGGAGCUAAUACCGGAUAACAUGUUGAACCGCAUGGUUCAACAGUGAAAGACGGUCUUGCUGUCACUUAUAGAUGGAUCCGCGUCGCAUUAGCUAGUUGGUAAGGUAACGGCUUACCAAGGCAACGAUGCGUAGCCGACCUGAGAGGGUGAUCGGCCACACUGGAACUGAGACACGGUCCAGACUCCUACGGGAGGCAGCAGUAGGGAAUCUUCCGCAAAGGGCGAAAGCCUGACGGAGCAACGCCGCGUGAGUGAAGAAGGUCUUCGGAUCGUAAAACUCUGUUAUUAGGGAAGAACAAAUGUGUAAGUAACUAUGCACGUCUUGACGGUACCUAAUCAGAAAGCCACGGCUAACUACGUG
rnacentral:rRNA from 1 species